rnacentral:rRNA from 1 species
GGGGAAAAAUUAAUAAAAAAAAAAAUAAUAAAAAAAUUUUUAAAUAAAAAUAUUUAAUGGGGGUUAAAGUAUUUUUAAAGAAAAAAUAGAAAAAUUUAUAGUUAAUUAGUAUUGUGAAAGAAUUUUUAAAUAUAAUGAAAAUAAAUUAAUAAAAAAGUAAUUUUUAUUUAAUGUAUCUUGUGUAUCAGAGUUUAUUAAUAAAAUUAUUUUUAAUAAAUAUUUCUCGAAUUUAAAAGAGUUAAAUAAUUAUAAAAGUUAUUGUAGCAAAAAUAUUUUAAAUAAUUAUUUUGAAAUUAAAUGUUAAUCGUUUUUAAAUAUAUCUAGUUUUUUUAGAAAUAAAUUUAAUUUAUAAUUUUUUUAAAAAAAAAAAUUAAUUAAUUAAUUUUUUUUUAAAAAAAAUUUAAUAAUUUAGGGGAUAAGCUUUAAAUUAAAUUUUUAUAAUUAAAUAUUUUAAAAAUUAAAAUUUUUAUAAUUUAAAUUGUUAAAAAAUUAUAAUUUUUUAUAAAUAAUUUUAAUAAAAGUAAAAUUUAAUUUGUAUAAUUUAAAUUUUUAUAAAAAAAUUUUUUUUAAUGGUAAAAAUUAAGAUAUAAUGAUAAAAUUAGUAUAUAAAAAUUUUAUAAAAUAAACAAUAAAUUUAUUUAUGAGAAUUAAUUUAAAGGAAUUCGGCAAAUAAUUAUAUUCACUUGUUUAUCAAAAACAUGUCUUUUUGUUAAUAAUUUAAAGUCUAAUCUGCCCACUGAUAAAUAAAUAUUAAAGGGCUGCAGUAUUUUGACUGUACAAAGGUAGCAUAAUCAUUAGUCUCUUAAUUGGUGACUUGUAUGAAAGAUUUGAUGAAAUAUAAACUGUCUCUAAAUUAUUUAUAUAAUUUAAUUUUUUAAUUAAAAAGUUAAAAUUUAUUUAAAAGACGAGAAGACCCUAUAGAGUUUUAUAGAUUAAUUAAUAAGUUAUUAUUUAUAAAUAUUAAAUAAAUAUCAUUAUUUAAUUUAUUUUAUUGGGGUGAUAGAAAAAUUAAAUUAACUUUUUUUAUUUAUAAACAUUAAUAAAUGAUAAAAAGAUCCAAAAUUUUUGAUUGAAAGAAAAAAUUACCUUAGGGAUAACAGCGUAAUUUUUUUUUUUAGUUCAAAUAAAAAAAAAAGUUUGCGACCUCGAUGUUGGAUUAAGAUAAAAUUUAAAUGCAAAAGUUUAAAAUUUUGAUCUGUUCGAUCAUUAAAAUCUUACAUGAUCUGAGUUCAAACCGGUGUGAGCCAGGUUGGUUUCUAUCUUUAAAAAUUGGGGAAAUAUUUUAGUACGAAAGGAUCAAAUAUUUAAAAUAAUUUUAUACAAUAAAUGAAUAUUAAUAAAAAUAUUAAUAUAAAUAUUAUUAAUAGUUAAAA